AGCCUUCUGUAUUCGAGCUGAGAUUUCGUUAGCGAUCAACUCGUUGAGGUUGAUGCGACUCCCCAAAUAAGAAUAGCG
rnacentral:pre_miRNA from 1 species